GCUAAACAGAGUGUGUAAUCGUACACACUGAUUUACAUUAGCUAUCCCCGCUUUCUUGAUGUGUGUGUUUUACUUUAUUGGACAUAGUCACACCCCUUAUUGGAAAUCCUUAUAUGGUUCUUUGGGAGUCUUCUUCCAUGGUCUUCAACAUCUCGUGUCCUUUUUAGGUGGCUGCUCCUCGACUACCACUUUUGAGAAUGUGUUAACCUGAAGCAGAGUUUCCCAAGAGGCCUGUGGAACAGCAAACACUGGGAGAUUUAACCACUGCUGGGAGCAUCCAACCUGUAUGCCUUG
rnacentral:lncRNA from 12 species